rnacentral:rRNA from 1 species
CCGUGCCCAAGAGAUCGGGAUAACACCUGGAAACAGAUGCUAAUACCGGAUAACAACAGAUGAUGCCUAUCAACUGUUUAAAAGAUGGUUCUGCUAUCACUCUUGGAUGGACCUGCGGUGCAUUAGCUAGUUGGUAGGGUAACGGCCUACCAAGGCGAUGAUGCAUAGCCGAGUUGAGAUACUGAUCGGCCACAUUGGGACUGAGACACGGCCCAAACUCCUACGGGAGGCAGCAGCU